GAUGAACGCUGACAGAAUGCUUAACACAUGCGAGUCUUUGGCGAAGCUGUGCUCGCACAGCCUAGCCAAGGCGGACGGGUGAGUAACGCGUAAGGAACUUGCCCUGCAGUCAGGGAUAACAGACGGAAACGACUGAUAAGACCUGGUAAAGUCAGGCGGACUCAUGUCCAGCCUGAUGAAAAGAGAUGCUGCAGGAGAGCCUUGCGUCCUAUUAGCUUGUUGGUGGGGUAACGGCCCACCAAGGCGAUGAUAGGUAGCCGGCCUGAGAGGGUGGACGGCCACAAGGGGACUGAGAUACGGCCCUUACUCCUACGGGAGGCAGCAGUGGGGAAUAUUGGACAAUGGGGGCAACCCUGAUCCAGCAAUUCUGUGUGCACGAUGAAGGUUUUCGGAUUGUAAAGUGCUUUCAGCAGGGAAGAAAAAAAUGACGGUACCUGCAGAAGAAGCGACGGCUAAAUACGUG
rnacentral:rRNA from 1 species